GAUUUCAAGUUUCAAUAUAUCCUUUAAAAAGUAUGUAUACACAGAGAAGAUUAGCAUGGCCCCUGCACAAGGAUGGCACACAAAUUCAUGAAGUGUUACAUAUUUUU